GACGAACGCUGGCGGCGUGCCUAACACAUGCAAGUCGAACGAUGCCGUCGAGCCUAGUGGGGCAAGUAUUCGUGACGGGUUGGGAAAUGCGCUUGUAAUCUAACUAACUCCCCGAAAUAAGUCCUAGUAACUGAUACUAAUAUCGGACACGAGCAUUAUCCGCAUUGGAUGGGCCCGGGUUGGGUUAGGUAGUUGGUAGGGUAAAAGCCUCCCAAUGCGACGAUCCAUAGCUGGUAUGAGAGGAUGACCAGCCAGACUGGGAGUGAGACACGGACCAGACUCCUACGGGAGGGAGCAGUGGGGAAUAUUGGACGAUGGGCGAAAGUCUGAUCCAGCAAUGCCGCGGGAGUGAUGAAGGCCUUAGGGUUGUAAAGCUCGUUUAGCCGGGAUGAUAAUGACAGUACCGGGAGAAUAAGCGCCGGCUAACUCCGUG
rnacentral:rRNA from 1 species